rnacentral:rRNA from 1 species
CGAGUUAAACCGACACAGGUAGAUGAGGAGAGAAUCCUAAGGCCGACGGGAGAAGCAUUGUUAAGGAACUCGGCAAAAUGACCCCGUAACUUCGGGAGAAGGGGUGCCCACGCGAGUGGGCCGCAGAGAAUAGGCUCAAGCAACUGUUUAGCAAAAACACAGGUCUAUGCGAAACCGAAAGGUGAGGUAUAUGGGCUGACGCCUGCCCGGUGCUGGAAGGUUAAGAGGAGGAGUCAGGCAACGAAGCUCCGAAUUUAAGCCCCAGUAAACGGCGGCCGUAACAAUAACGGUCCUAAGGUAGCGAAAUUCCUUGUCGGGUAAGUUCCGACCCGCACGAAAGGCGUAAUGAUUUGAGCACUGUCUCGACAAUGCACCCGGUGAAAUUGAAGUACCAGUGAAGAUGCUGGUUACCUGCGCCAGGACGGAAAGACCCCAUGGAGCUUUACUCCAGUUUGAUACUGGGAUUCGAUACUGAAUGUGCAGGAUAGGUGGGAGGCUGAGAAGCGUGGACGCCAGUCUGCGGUGAGCCGCUGUUGGGAUACCACCCUUUGAGUAUUGGAUUUCUAACCUGCGCCCGUGACCCGGGCGGGGGACAAUGUCUGACGGGGAGUUUGACUGGGGCGGUCGCCUCCGAAAGGGUAUCGGAGGCGCUCAAAGGUUCCCUCAGAAUGGUUGGAAACCAUUCGCAGAGUGCAAAGGCAGAAGGGAGCUUGACUGUGACACCGACGGGUGGAGCAGGUACGAAAGUAGGACUUAGUGAUCCGGUGGUAUGAAAGUGGGAUUGCCAUCGCCCAACGGAUAAAAGCUACCCUGGGAUAACAGGCUUAUCACUCCCAAGAGUUCACAUCGACGGAGUGGUUUGCCACCUCGAUGUCGGCUCAUCGCAUCCUGGGGCUGUAGCAGGUCCCAAGGGUUGGGCUGUUCGCCCAUUAAAGCGGUACGCGAGCUGGGUUCAGAACGUCGUGAGACAGUUCGGUCCCUAUCCGGCGCAGGCGUAGGAUAUUUGAGAGGAGCUGUCCUUAGUACGAGAGGACCGGGAUGGACAGCCCGCUGGUGUAUCUGUUGGUGACCAACACCAUGGCAGAGUAGCCAAGUCUGGCAGGGAUAAACGCUGAAGGCAUCUAAGCGUGAAGCCCCCCUCAAGAUGAGAUAUCCCAAUAAGUAAGACCCCUUAGAGAGUAUGAGGUAGAUAGGCUUAAGGUGUAAGCAUAGUAAUAUGUUCAGCUGAUAAGUACUAAUAGGUCGAGGGCUUAUCU